CCUUUUUCCAGAUUUAACAGCAGCCUUUCUGCCUGGCCACAGACACAGGCCCUCCCUUCUUUUUUGUCUGCAUUUUUACUGUAAUGUACCAGGGAGCUGGGCAGUAUGGGCAUCUUACGGCAGCAAAGUCAAGAGGGGGAGAUUGUGUGUGCCAGAACAAUAGCAACAAAGGCUGCUUUCAGGCCAGUGUUUGCAUAUAUGCUUCAUAGUCUAAGGGAAUUAAAAACAAACACCCGCCGUUGUCUCAGAGCUGCGCUGCAUGACUAAGGUGGUGAUUUACCGACAGGGAUGAAACUUCACUAAUGGGUUCCAGUGACUUCAGUGGACCAAGAAAGGAAGACUUGUUCCCAAGCCACCAGGUUCCAGAUGCUCACAUGAUGCCAAUCAGCCUUCCCUGGGCAGACGACUCUACCAAUGUGUUCUGGAGCCCUGCUUCCUCAGAGCCAGAGAGACAGGCUGGGAGUAUGGAUCGACCUGCCAACACCCAUGUUCAGUGGAGAAGCAAUUACAGAAGCCGGACCUUCCACCUUCUGUACCCAUGAUCCUGGGUCCAUAUUCCCAGAGGGUUAAAGAAUAGGAAAGCUAUCAGGGGAGGGGAUGGGAUACAGAGUUCUGGUGGUGGGAAUUGUGUGGAGUUGUACCCCUCUUACCCUAUGGUUUUUGUCAGUGUUUCCUUUUUAUAAACUUUUUUUUUAAGUCAGUUAAUAAAUACUUUAGGAUUUGGUGAGCCAUACAGUUUCUGCUGCUUCUACUCAACUACCUGUUGUAAUACAAAAACAAUUGUACAUGACAAAUGGUCAUGGCUGUGUUCCAAUAAAACUUUAUUUAAAAAAAAAAAAGUACCAACUUUUAUUGAUAGUGCCUGAUCUUACAGUUGCUUUAAGACAGAUUAACUUUUUUUUUUUUUUUGCCUCCAGAGUUAUUUAUUGUUGGGGCUCAGUGCCUGCAUUACGAAUCCACUGCUCCUGGAGGCUAUUUUUCCCAUUUUGUUGCUCUUGCUGUUUUGCUUGUUGUAGUUGUUAUUGUUGUCAUAGCUGUUGUUGUUGUUGGAUAGGACAGAGAGAAAUGGAGAGAGGAGGGGAAGACAGAGAGGAGGAGAAAAAGAUAGACACUUGCAGACCUGCUUCACCGCUUGCGAAGUGACCUCCUGCAGGUGGGGAGCCAUGUGCGCUACCGCCCGACUCCCAACUUUUUUUUUUUUUUUAAUCAAACAGAAGCCAAAAUAUGUACAGUGCCUGGGACUGAAUCUUGAGCUUCAUCCAUGAAAGUCCUCUGCCACUAAGCUUUCAGCCUGGCUCCUAUUCUUGCUUAAAUAAGAAAACAAACCUGGGUGGAAGGUAGAUAGCAUAAUGAUUAUGCAAACAGACUCUCAUGCCUGAGGCUCCAGAGUCCCAGGUUCAACCCCCUGCACCACCAUAAGCCAGAGCUGAACAGUGCUCUGGUUAAAAAAUAGAAAAAUAAUGAGAAAAAGAAAAAGAAAACAAA